rnacentral:rRNA from 1 species
GACGAACGCUGGCGGCGUGCUUAACACAUGCAAGUCGAACGGAAAGGCCCUGCUUUUGUGGGGUGCUCGAGUGGCGAACGCGUGAGUAACACGUGAGUAACCUGCCCUUGACUUUGGGAUAACUUCAGGAAACUGGGGCUAAUACCGGAUAGGAGCUCUUGCUGCAUGGUGGGGGUUGGAAAGUUUCGGCGGUUGGGGCUGGACUCGCGGCUUAUCCGCUUGUUGGUGGGGUAGUGGCUUACCAAGGCUUUGACGGGUAGCCGGCCUGAGAGGGUGACCGGCCACAUUGGGACUGAGAUACGGCCCAGACUCCUACGGGAGGCAGCAGUGGGGAAUAUUGCACAAUGGGCGGAAGCCUGAUGCAGCAACGCCGCGUGCGGGAUGACGGCCUUCGGGUUGUAAACCGCUUUCGCCUGUGACGAAGCGUGAGUGACGGUAAUGGGUAAAGAAGCACCGGCUAACUACGUG